GACAGUCCCUUCACCAAGCUCAGUCUCAGCGAAGCUCCUUACUUAGCACUACCUUCAUGUGCAGCGAGAGGGUAGCAUGCCAUAAAAGCCAGCUGUGAUCAUUUCUCUCUCUGUACCGCCUCUCAUCAUACAGCAGCAUGUGAAAUUCUCUUCCUUACAGCUGCACACAGCAGCCAAUAGAAUAUGAUCGCUGCUGGGUAGAGAAGGCAUCUUCAAACUUUAAAGAAGCAAACAGACUCUGUGUGAAAGAGAAAGAUUUUUUAGGCAAAGGUACCAAGAGACAAACCACUAGCAAGAUCACAAAGGCUGACUAUGGAACAUGAAGGGGACUGGAGCCAGUGUUUAAUGAGAAAACCUUGGCUACGGAACAUAGCAAAACUGGCUUCCGCCUUGUCAAUGAUAAAGACAGCAGGGGCUCAGUCCAAUCAGAAAUCUCAUUUUCACCAAGAAAAGAGUGUAAACUAGAGGCAGAAAUACCCCCCUGAAUGAGAGUGGGAAGGAAAGCCUAUAGCUAAUCAAGGUGGCAUUGAUCUAAGAUCACGACAGCUGGAAUUAAAAUUAUCUUCAAAGGACGUUAGACAAACAAAAAUGUACUGCGAUUUGCUGGUCAGAAUUCCUUUAAAAACUCGAUUCUCUUCCGCAAGAACAAUAGGAGGAAUUCUAAGCCUGCUAAAGACAUAUUGUCUUCAUUCCUCCUUUCCUACUAUAGUGUGCUGCGGUAACAUACCACCAUACCAUACAAUCAGGUGUUGUUUAUCUUUUACAGUACUCCAAGAUACAUAAAGGGGGUUAUUUACUAAACUUUUUUUUUUUUAAACUGGAAUUUUUUAAGAUUUAUAAAAGCCUGAUGCUGUAAAAAGCCCGCAAAUAUCCGCCAUCGCAGACCUGCCAAAGUUAUGUAUAAGUCAAUGGCAGAGGUCCCUACCUAUUUUGAAUUUUCUGUGGUCUGCGCUGGGUUUACCCCGAAAAUCUAACCAUUUCGGGCUUUUUGGGGAAAAAGCCUGAAAUAAUCGAGCAAUUCAGGAAUAAAAACCCAGAAAAAUCAUAUGUUUUGGAGUUUUUACCCAAACCAAUUAAAUUGAGCUUUUUUUAAUAAUAAAUAAGAUAAAAUUGAGUAUGGGAGAUUGGUCG